rnacentral:lncRNA from 1 species
UGCUGUGGCUGUGGUGUAGGCUGGUGGCUACAGCUCCAAUUAGACGCCUAGCCUGGGAACCUCCAUAUGCUACAGGUGUGGCCCUAAAAAGACAAAAAAAAAAAAAAAGUAGAAUCCAAAGAUAUAUUAUUUAUAAAUAGAGUUACACUUUAACCAUAAAGAUACAGAUUGGCUAGAAGUGAAAUUAUGAAGAAAGAUAUGCCAUGCAAAUACCUCAUUAUAGGAGAAGUAGAUAUCAGAGUAAAUUUCAGAGCAAAGAAUAUUAUCAGAGAUAAUCAGAGGACAUUUCAUAGCAGAGUCAGUUUAUGGAGAAUGUAUAAUUGUUCUAAAUAUAUAUAUACCUAAUAGCAGAGCUUAAAAACACAGAAAGCAAAAACUGACAGAAUGAAGGGCUUAAUAGAAAAAUCCCCAAUCAUGGCUAGAAAUUUUAACAUCUCUCAGUACUGUAUAGAAAAUUAUGCAAAAAUUCACUCAGCAUCUAGAAGAUUUGAACAGUACAAUGUCUGACAUUUCUAGAACGCUAAGCUCAGCAACUGUCAAGAUACACAUUUUUUGAAAAUGUGUAUGGAACAUAUGUCAAGAUAGAGUAUAUGCUGGGCCAUUAAAUGAGUUCCAAUACAUUUCAAAGGAUUUAAACUAUACAGAGUUAGUUCUCUGAUCAUAUAGGAUGAAGUCACAAAGUAGUCACAAAAAUAUAUGGGAAAAUUUCCCAAAAAUUUAGAAGUGGCGAUACACUUCUAAGUAACUCAUGGAUCAAAAAAAGUAUUCACAAGAUAAAAUUUUAAAUGUUUCAAGCUGAAUGAUGAAGAAAAUACAACAUAUCAAAACAUGUGGGAUGUAACUAGAGAAGUAUUUAGGAGGAAAUUAAUAGUUUUAAAUGCUCUGUUAGAAAAGAAAUGCCAUUUUAAGAUCAGUGUUCUAAGAAUUUAUUUAUUUAUUUUUUUAGGGCUGCAACCUUGGCAUAUGGAGGUUCCCAGGCUAGGUGUCAAACCGGAGCUAAAGCUGCCAGCCUACACCACAACCACAACAACAAUGGAUCCGCUCUGCAUCUGCAACCUACACCACAGCUCAUGGCAACACCGGAUCCUUAACCCACUGAGCGAAGCCAGGGAUCAAACCCGCAACCUCAUGGUUCCUAGUCAGAUUCGUUUCUGCUGCACCAUGAUGGGAACUCCUAAGAUUCUAUUUGAAAAAGGAAAAAAAAGCAAAUUAAAUCCAAAUUAAUCAAAAGAGAUCAAGUAAGAGCAGAAAUUAGGAAGAGCCGAAAACAAUGGGGACAAAUAAUAGAGAAAAUUAAGUUGUUUUUUUGGAAAGAUUAAUAAAAUUG